rnacentral:rRNA from 2 species
GGGUUGUGAGGUUAAGCGACUAAGCGUACACGGUGGAUGCCCUGGCAGUCAGAGGCGAUGAAGGACGUGCUAAUCUGCGAAAAGCGUCGGUAAGGUGAUAUGAACCGUUAUAACCGGCGAUGUCCGAAUGGGGAAACCCAGUGCAAUUCGUUGCACUAUCGUUAACUGAAUACAUAGGUUAACGAGGCGAACCGGGGGAACUGAAACAUCUAAGUACCCCGAGGAAAAGAAAUCAACCGAGAUUCCCCCAGUAGCGGCGAGCGAACGGGGAGCAGCCCAGAGUCUGAAUCAGCUUGUGUGUUAGUGGAACGGUCUGGAAAGUCCGACGGUACAGGGUGAUAGUCCCGUACACCAAAAUGCACAGGCUGUGAACUCGAAGAGUAGGGCGGGACACGUGGUAUCCUGUCUGAAUAUGGGGGGACCAUCCUCCAAGGCUAAAUACUCCUGACUGACCGAUAGUGAACCAGUACCGUGAGGGAAAGGCGAAAAGAACCCCGGCGAGGGGAGUGAAAAAGAACCUGAAACCGUGUACGUACAAGCAGUGGGAGCACCUUCGGGUGUGACUGCGUACCUUUUGUAUAAUGGGUCAGCGACUUAUAUUCUGUAGCAAGGUUAACCGUAUAGGGGAGCCGCAGGGAAACCGAGUCUUAACUGGGCGUUAAGUUGCAGGGUAUAGACCCGAAACCCGGUGAUCUAGCCAUGGGCAGGUUGAAGGUUGGGUAACACUAACUGGAGGACCGAACCGACUAAUGUUGAAAAAUUAGCGGAUGACUUGUGGCUGGGGGUGAAAGGCCAAUCAAACCGGGAGAUAGCUGGUUCUCCCCGAAAGCUAUUUAGGUAGCGCCUCGUGAACUCAUCUUCGGGGGUAGAGCACUGUUUCGGCUAGGGGGUCAUCCCGACUUACCAACCCGAUGCAAACUACGAAUACCGAAGAAUGUUAUCACGGGAGACACACGGCGGGUGCUAACGUCCGUCGUGAAGAGGGAAACAACCCAGACCGCCAGCUAAGGUCCCAAAGUCAUGGUUAAGUGGGAAACGAUGUGGGAAGGCACAGACAGCCAGGAUGUUGGCUUAGAAGCAGCCAUCAUUUAAAGAAAGCGUAAUAGCUCACUGGUCGAGUCGGCCUGCGCGGAAGAUGUAACGGGGCUAAACCAUGCACCGAAGCUGCGGCAGCGACACUAUGUGUUGUUGGGUAGGGGAGCGUUCUGUAAGCCUGCGAAGGUGACCUGUGAGGGUUGCUGGAGGUAUCAGAAGUGCGAAUGCUGACAUAAGUAACGAUAAAGCGGGUGAAAAGCCCGCUCGCCGGAAGACCAAGGGUUCCUGUCCAACGUUAAUCGGGGCAGGGUGAGUCGACCCCUAAGGCGAGGCCGAAAGGCGUAGUCGAUGGGAAACAGGUUAAUAUUCCUGUACUUGGUGUUACUGCGAAGGGGGGACGGAGAAGGCUAUGUUAGCCGGGCGACGGUUGUCCCGGUUUAAGCAUGUAGGCUGGUUAUCCAGGCAAAUCCGGAUAAUCAAGGCUGAGGUGUGAUGACGAGGCACUACGGUGCUGAAGUAACAAAUGCCCUGCUUCCAGGAAAAGCCUCUAAGCAUCAGGUAACAUCAAAUCGUACCCCAAACCGACACAGGUGGUCAGGUAGAGAAUACCAAGGCGCUUGAGAGAACUCGGGUGAAGGAACUAGGCAAAAUGGUGCCGUAACUUCGGGAGAAGGCACGCUGGUGUGUAGGUGAAGUCCCUGCGGAUGGAGCUGAGACCAGUCGAAGAUACCAGCUGGCUGCAACUGUUUAUUAAAAACACAGCACUGUGCAAACACGAAAGUGGACGUAUACGGUGUGACGCCUGCCCGGUGCCGGAAGGUUAAUUGAUGGGGUUAUCCGUAAGGAGAAGCUCUUGAUCGAAGCCCCGGUAAACGGCGGCCGUAACUAUAACGGUCCUAAGGUAGCGAAAUUCCUUGUCGGGUAAGUUCCGACCUGCACGAAUGGCGUAAUGAUGGCCAGGCUGUCUCCACCCGAGACUCAGUGAAAUUGAACUCGCUGUGAAGAUGCAGUGUACCCGCGGCAAGACGGAAAGACCCCGUGAACCUUUACUAUAGCUUGACACUGAACAUUGAGCCUUGAUGUGUAGGAUAGGUGGGAGGCUUUGAAGCGUGGACGCCAGUCUGCGUGGAGCCAACCUUGAAAUACCACCCUUUAAUGUUUGAUGUUCUAACGUUGGCCCCUGACCGGGGUUGCGGACAGUGUCUGGUGGGUAGUUUGACUGGGGCGGUCUCCUCCCAAAGCGUAACGGAGGAGCACGAAGGUUAGCUAAUCCUGGUCGGACAUCAGGAGGUUAGUGCAAUGGCAUAAGCUAGCUUGACUGCGAGCGUGACGGCGCGAGCAGGUGCGAAAGCAGGUCAUAGUGAUCCGGUGGUUCUGAAUGGAAGGGCCAUCGCUCAACGGAUAAAAGGUACUCCGGGGAUAACAGGCUGAUACCGCCCAAGAGUUCAUAUCGACGGCGGUGUUUGGCACCUCGAUGUCGGCUCAUCACAUCCUGGGGCUGAAGUAGGUCCCAAGGGUAUGGCUGUUCGCCAUUUAAAGUGGUACGCGAGCUGGGUUUAGAACGUCGUGAGACAGUUCGGUCCCUAUCUGCCGUGGGCGCUGGAGAAUUGAGGGGGGCUGCUCCUAGUACGAGAGGACCGGAGUGGACGCAUCACUGGUGUUCGGGUUGUCAUGCCAAUGGCACUGCCCGGUAGCUAAAUGCGGAAGAGAUAAGUGCUGAAAGCAUCUAAGCACGAAACUUGCCCCGAGAUGAGUUCUCCCUGAGACUUUAAGUCUCCUGAAGGAACGUUAAAGACGAUGACGUUGAUAGGCCGGGUGUGUAAGCGCAGCGAUGCGUUGAGCUAACCGGUACUAAUGAACCGUGAGGCUUAACCUUACAACGCCGAAG